AACCUGGUUGAUCCUGCCAGUAGUCUAUGCUUGUCUCAAAAGAUUAAGCCUGCAUGUCUCAGUAUAAGCUUCUAUACGGCGAAAACUGCGAAUGGCUCAUUAAAAACAGUUAAUAAGUUUAUUUGAUGAUCAACAAUUACAUGGAUAACCGUGGUAAUUCUAAGAGCUAAUACAUGCGCCCAAAAACCCAACUCCGUGGAAAGGGUUGUGUUUAUUAGAUACAGAACCACCCAGGCUCCGCCUGGCAUUGAGGUGAUUCC
rnacentral:rRNA from 1 species